GAUGCUGUCAGCAGUAAAUAUUUGUAAUAUAAGCGAUCAAAAGUUCUUCUUCGCACGUGAGCAUCCAGAAAAGUCCAAGCAAACUUUAGGGCAGAGCUCUACUCAAACUGUUAGUGAUAAUUUAUUGUUAUACUAAAUAUUAUGUAGCUUCGUUUGUAUAUACUUCGGGCCAAUCAGCAAACCAGUUCAAUGUUUGGACUUGAGAUUCGAAACUCUGUUAGACUUUGGCACUGGCACUGGGCUACAAGAUUUGGCCUCAUCAAAGCCGGAGAGAAGAAAGAAAGAAACCGAUUGUUCCAAGACAAUUUGGAAAACCGGUAUUAUGGAGCCAGAUAGAACAAACACUUUAGCUGCAGAUAUUCUGAGAAACCCAAUUCAAGUGCAGGCCACAGGGGCUUGGCAGAUUUAUUCACAAUUGAGUAUUUAUUUCUUCGUAUUUGUACAUUAAUAUUUUGUAUGAUUCAUAAUUUAUAAUAAUUUAUUAAUAUUUUAUAUGAA